ensembl:lncRNA GARS1-DT GARS1 divergent transcript
AUAGAAAACAAUUUUGUCUUGAAAAACAAGGACUCUUUUUCCCGUGUGGGACCAGUUCCUACUUAUGUUUUACCAGCCAAUUGGACUGGAACCUAUACAGUUGUUUAUUUAGCCCCCGAAAUUAAUAUAGCUCCCAACAACCAAUCCUUCAUUAUACUUUUAACUGCAACCACCAGACACAAAUGAGCCAUCCAACUGAUACCACUUUCGGUAGAGCUAGGAAUAACAGCAGGAGUAGGAAUGAGAGUUAGCAGCCUUGCAGUUUCCCUAUCCUAUUACCAAUGCUUGUCCAAGGAUUUUAUGGAAAGCUUAGGUGACAUUGCCCAAAAGUAUCAUCACCUUACAAAAUCAGAUAGAGUCUUUGGCAGUGGUGGCUUUGUAAAAUAGAAGGGGACUGGAUCUCCUAAAUGCUGAAGAAGGUGGCUUAUGUCUUUUUCCUAGAGGAAGAAUGCUGUUUUUAUGUCAACCAAACAGGAUUAGUAAGGGAUGCCACCCAAAAACUAGCCGAUUGGUACCAUAAGAUAUGACAACAGCUGUCUGAGUCAUGGGGCGCCUAGUCAAAAUGCUAAUUUGGGGCUCACAUCUCCUUCCUCUGGCCAGUCCACUAUUAAUUAUUAUACUUGCCUUGGCUUUUGGAUCAUGUUUGUUAAAUCUUUUAACCAGAUUUAUUUCUUCUUGCCUAGAGACCAUUAUGAUAAUGCAGCAGGGCCACCAGUCAGUUUCAGAUAAUGAUGUCAACCCCGGCCACCAAGAAGUAACCUUGUCUCCACUAGACAGAGCAGGUUGCAGGAAUUUAGCCAAUUCAGAGGUCUUGUUCUCCAUAAUUUGGAAUUUUCCUUCGGAUUUGAUCAAGUUGGAUAGAGUUGGUCAAACCCAAUGGGAAAAAGAUGAAAACAACAAGAAACAGAAACAAACAGCAACAACAACAACAACAAAAACAGACCCCACACCUCCAGACCCUGCUGAGGGAGGGCCACCCAUUUCUAGUCCCAGCUCCUACUCUAACUAUCUGUGUGACCUUAAACAAGGCCUUUCCCCUCUCUGGCCUCAGUAUCCGCCUCUGAAUAAUGGGGCUGGGCCUGCCGACCUUCUGGCCCUUUUCUGCUCUGUGAGUUUGUGAACUUGUGAUAGGGAGACAGGAGUCCUAGGAAGGAAAUGGAACUGGUGAUAGGGAGACAAGAGUCCUAGGAAGGAAAUGGAACUUGUGAUAGGGAGACAAGAGUCCUAGGAAAUGGAAGGAGAGCACGUUUCACUCUGUCCAGCAGAGGGCAGCAGCUACCCACAAAUCAACAGCUGAGCAAGGCCAGGGCUGUGUGGGAGCUAUGCACAGGUUCUGCCUCCAGAAGCCUUCAGUGCCUGCCUCUGAGCCAGAGGGUUCCAAGCAGAAGAGGUCCCGCCCCCGGAGAGGGACCUCAGAGAGGUCCUCCAAGCCCCUCUCAGCUCUUACUUACGGCAUCCCAGAUGCCCUAUUCCUCUUCUGCAGAGAGAAGGUGGUUCAGCCACUAAAUGGUGCUGGGACCUCGCAGUUUGGUGGGAAGGAGGAAGCUUACUCAAGCAAGGAAUAUGAGACAGGCAAAAACCCACGCAUAAGCCAA